UACGUAGGGUCCGAGCGUUGUCCGGAAUUACUGGGCGUAAAGCGCGCGCAGGCGGCCCGCGAGGUGUCACGUGAAAGCCCCGGGCUCAACCCGGGAGGGUCGUGGCAAACCGGCGGGCUUGAGGCCGGUAGAGGUGGGUGGAACUCCUGGUGGAGUGGUGAAAUGCGUAGAGAUCAGGAAGAACACCCGUGGCGAAGGCGGCCCACUGGGCCGGUACUGACGCUGAGGAGCGAAAGCGUGGGGAGCGAACAGG
rnacentral:rRNA from 1 species